CUUGCUCUCUUGGUGGCGAGUGGCAGACGAGUGAGUAACACGUAAGAAAUCUACCCUAGAGUGGGGGAUAACCCGCCGAAAGGCGGACUAAUACCCCAUAUAAUCCAAUGACGGCAUCGUCGAUGGAUGAAAGAUUUAUCGCUCUUGGAUGAUCUUGCGGCCUAUCAGUUUGUUGGCGGGGUAACGGCCCACCAAGACUAUGACGGGUACCCGGCCUGAAAGGGCGACCGGGCACGGAGGCACUGAGACACGGGCCUCACUCCUACGGGAGGCAGCAGUGGGGAAUUUUGGACAAUGGGGGCAACCCUGAUCCAGCAACGCUGCGUGAGGGACGAAGGCCUGAGGGUCGUAAACCUCUUUUAUAAGGGAAGAAAUUCCGCAAGGAGCUGACGGUACCUUGUGAAUAAGCCCCGGCUAAAUAUGUGCCAGCAGCCGCGGUAAGACAUAUGGGGCAAGCGUUACUCGGAAUUACUAGGCGUAAAGCGCAUGUAGGCGGAUGCUUAAGUCCGUUGUGAAAUCUCCCGGCUUAACUGGGAGGGGUCGACGGAUACUGGGCGUCUAGAGUAAGGUAGGGGUUACUGGAAUUCCUGGUGUAGCGGUGAAAUGCGUA
rnacentral:rRNA from 1 species